AUUUGAUAUUCACACCUUUUUACAGAGAGGAUCUACAGAUUUCAUCAGCUGUGAACAACAACAAAAAGAGUACGUAGGAAUUCCAAAAUCCUGUAAUAACAAUGAAAAUCACGGUAAGAGUAAUAUUUUGGAAGACUGUUCUCUGGUUCAAGGCCUUACACUAAGCGCCUUCCCGCCUGGCCGUGGGGAGGGACUUAGCAUGUCCCAGGCAGCUCAACUUUGCAGAAAAGGAGCAUCUCCCAUCCCUUCCACAGGCAGCAGCUUUCUCCAGUCCAUGCUUCAGAGACAGAGGCACCCUGCCGAAGUCCCUCCAUUCCUGAGGGUGCAGUGACCCCAUGUGGCCAAUUCCAAAUGUAGCCACUUGAUGGACAUUGGGCUGUGACUGCUAUUUCUUCUUCAUUUAAGCAAUUCUCCAAUUGCUGUCUUUUGCUGAAGUUUUGCUUUCAUUCCACUGAGGAGGAGAGGCAACAGAGGCGGCUUGGAAUGGGAAGGGCGGGGCUGAGCUUGCAGGGACAAUGUCCACCUAGCCUGCUGGCCACAAGGACCCUCCAGCUCUGAAGGUGCGCUGAGAGCGACCCCUUCGGGCCACAUUGGAGGGGCAGCAACAGGUGAUCUGGAUGGCUGGCCUGAAGCCUUCUAGGCCCCAACCAGGCUGCUGCAUCGCAGAGAAAGGAGAGAGAGAGACAGAUGAGACCAAGGAAACUCUGCACUGAGUCACCCCCAGACUCAGGAGGGGGAAAUGGGGGGCUGUCAUGUGAGAGCUGGGAGGGCCCAUGGGGUUAUCAAAGUCAUGGCCACAUUUUAUAAAGACAGCGAGGGCCAGAGUGUGACAAGGUCUCUCCUUAAAGCCGCCCACUAAUAUGUGUGAGCCGGUGAGGAACUGCAUGUGGCUGCUACCAACAUAUGCCGAGUCACAGGGGCUUCAGCUAGGUAGGGGUGUCUUUCUCUUAUGUAAUCUGAAAUUUCUCAGAAGCAGGUGGUCCAGGGCUGCUAGGGAGGCCCCACGAUGUCAUGAGAGACCCCAACUCUGUCUUCUGCUUCACCAGUCCUAAAACAUGGCAUUUCUCCACAAGCCUACAUCAUGGUCACGACAUCUGCUUCAGCUCCCCUCUCACUCCUGAGUCCCAGGCAGGGAAAAGAAAGAAGAGGGAAAGCUCAGAGGCUGACUGUCAGAAGCAUAAGCUUCCCCUUCAAUAGCAUUUCCUGAGGUUUCACCCAAUAACUUCCUUUUAUCGUAUUGGCCAUUGGAACUGUAGUUUGUAAGCUGAGCGUUUCCCUGUAAAUGGAGGAAGCAGCAUGAAAACAGGCUUUUUGAGGAAGGAGCUGCGGCCGCUGUCACCAUUGUUGGGAAGGACAGAGCACUAUACUCGGUUUGUAUCUAGUAAGCAAGUUUGCCCAAGAGUUCAUUUCCCCAGACUCUUAAUCCAUUCUCUGACCUGCUGUCAC
rnacentral:lncRNA from 10 species